UUGGAGAUAAAAAAAAAAAUAACAAGGUUUCCGUAGGUGAACCUGCGGAAGGAUCAUUACUGUGAUUUAGUACUACACUGCGUGAGCGGAACGAAAACAAAAACACCUAAAAUGUGGAAUAUAGCAUAUAGUCGACAAGAGAAAUCUACGAAAAACAAACAAAACUUUCAACAACGGAUCUCUUGGUUCUCGCAUCGAUGAAGAGCGCAGCGAAAUGCGAUACCUAGUGUGAAUUGCAGCCAUCGUGAAUCAUCGAGUUCUUGAACGCACAUUGCGCCCCUCGGCAUUCCGGGGGGCAUGCCUGUUUGAGCGUCGUUUCCAUCUUGCGCGUGCGCAGAGUUGGGGGAGCGGAGCGGACGACGUGUAAAGAGCGUCGGAGCUGCGACUCGCCUGAAAGGGAGCGAAGCUGGCCGAGCGAACUAGACUUUUUUUCAGGGACGCUUGGCGGCCGAGAGCGAGUGUUGCGAGACAACAAAAAGCUCGACCUCAAAUCAGGUAAGAAACCCAA
rnacentral:rRNA from 1 species